rnacentral:rRNA from 1 species
UACGUAGGGGGCUAGCGUUGUCCGGAAUCAUUGGGCGUAAAGCGCGCGUAGGCGGCUCGGAAAGUCGGGCGUGAAAUGCCGGGGCUCAACCCCGGGACUGCGUCCGAUACUUCCGAGCUGGAGGUAGGUAGGGGAGAUCGGAAUUCCUGGUGUAGCGGUGAAAUGCGCAGAUAUCAGGAGGAGCACCGGUGGCGAAGGCGGAUCUCUGGGCCUUACCUGACGCUGAGGCGCGAAAGCUAGGGGAGCGAACAGG